rnacentral:rRNA from 1 species
CCCUGCCAUUUGUACACACCGCCCGUCGCUCCUACCGAUUGAAUGUUCCGGUGAAUACUUCGGAGCCGUGGCUCUAAUUGGGGCAACUCAAUUUUUGCCAAUGGUGAAGUUGCGUAAACCUUAACAUU